UGCUAUAAUCUGUUCAUUUAACCCAUUUCUUCCUGCAGAUCAAGCUCUCGUUUGUGUAAUUACCAAAGAAGUAUAUGAAGUUCGCAUAUGUUGACUUAACCCGCAAUAAGGUUGUAUGUGCAAGUGAGAUAGACUAAGAACAUCCAACUUUAAGGUCAUUACCGCUACAAGGAAAAGAGCUUUUAGAGGCGGAUUCGUCAACUCCCCCAAACUCUACAAGAACGAGUAAGAAAAUUCGUGCACUAUGAGCGUCUUGCAAUUCAAGGGGUCGAUGAAGAAGCAAUAUUGCAUCGCAUCAGAAACUAAUCACAAUGGAUCAAAAUUCUCAA